AAGCGAUAUGUAAUAGGUUGUGCGCUUUUGUAACCGUUCGCGUGUGAAUAUUAGAGGACAAGGGAGACUGUGUGUACUCGUGUGUCUGUUACGGACAAAGUGACACAAAAACGAUGGUGUGACUGCUAAUAAAAGCUAGCAUCUAUGUGGUUAGAAGGAUCCGGGCUUCCAUCGCUGAAGGAGAGCGACUGGAGAAGCCCAUCCUCACACCAUGUAGUGCUAUUGCUGAAAGGAGAGCGGGGCAGGAGUCGAAAGGAAAAUCCCCAACUGCUGCACUGAGCCCGGGAUCUGGCGAAGGCUUCUUAGAAGCAGAAGGUCCGGGAACGUCUUCAGAGACAGUCGUGCAGAAAUGUGGCUCCUGACGUUAAAGAUUACGCUGGACACUGGGAAUGUGGACAAGUCAAUGGAAAAAAAAUUAUUUAUGACAUAUAUAUAUAUAUUUUUUUUUCUAGCACUCAACAGCCUACAUGGCUAUGGCCUAUCUUAUUUAAAAAAUAUCUAAUUCUACAGAAAAAAAUUAAAACAUUAUUCCAGUACUUUCCAUGUCCAUGUUGUAUCAAGUGGCCAAAUCAUUUUUACAGACAUUUUUACUCAUCACCCCAUUAAAAAAAAAGGUAUCUAAAGAUAUGUAACACUAUCUGUAACCUUAUUCUUUUAAUUUUGGUUAUCUAGGGCAAAUGUUUAUUUUAUUGAGUGUGAGUGGUAAGUCAACAUGUUCUCUGUGAGGAAAAUCUGAAGUUUAUAUGCUGCAGUGUUUGAAGGCCGGCUCACCAACCUCUCUCCAGGGGCUGAGCCGGCCUGAUGUUUCUGCUGUUACACCAAUAAAUUCUAAAAAUGC